GUAGGUGGCAAGCGUUGUCCGGAAUUAUUGGGCGUAAAGCGCGCGCAGGGCGGUCCUUUAAGUCUGAUGUGAAAGCCCACGGCUCAACCGUGGAGGGUCAUUGGAAACUGGGGGACUUGAGUACAGAAGAGGAAAGCGGAAUUCCAAGUGUAGCGGUGAAAUGCGUAGAGAUUUGGAGGAACACCAGUGGCGAAGGCGGCUUUCUGGUCUGUAACUGACGCUGAGGCGCGAAAGCGUGGGGAGCAAACAGGAUUAGAUACCCUGGUAGUCCACGCCGUAAACGAUGAGUGCUAAGUGUUAGGGGGUUUCCGCCCCUUAGUGCUGCAGCUAACGCAUUAAGCACUCCGCCUGGGGAAUACGGCCGCAAAGGCUG
rnacentral:rRNA from 1 species